CCCAGACUCCUACGGGAGGCAGCAGUGGGGGAUAUUGCACAAUGGGGGAAACCCUGAUGCAGCGACGCCGCGUGAGUGAAGAAGUAUUUCGGUAUGUAAAGCUCUAUCAGCAGGGAAGAAAAAAGACGGUACCUGACUAAGAAGCCCCGGCUAACUACGUGCCAGCAGCCGCGGUAAUACGUAGGGGGCAAGCGUUAUCCGGAUUUACUGGGUGUAAAGGGAGCGUAGACGGCAAUACAAGUCGGAAGUGAAAUACCCGGGCUCAACCUGGGAACUGCUUUGGAAACUGUAUGGCUGGAGUGCUGGAGAGGUAAGCGGAAUUCCUAGUGUAGCGGUGAAAUGCGUAGAUAUUAGGAGGAACACCAGUGGCGAAGGCGGCUUACUGGACUGUAACUGACGUUGAGGCUCGAAAGCGUGGGGAGCAAACAGGAUUAGAUACCCUCGUACA
rnacentral:rRNA from 1 species